rnacentral:rRNA from 1 species
AUGCACGCUAGCUACAGGCUUAACCCAUGCAAGUCGCGGGGCAGCAUGGGGGUUGCUUGCAAUCCCCGAUGGCGACCGGCGCACGGGUGAGUAACGCGUAUCCAACCUGCCCUUCACCACGGGAUAACCCGGCGAAAGUCGGACUAAUACCGUAUGUUGUCCAUUGACGGCAUCCGAUUUGGACGAAAGGUUUGGCGGUGAAGGAUGGGGAUGCGUCCGAUUAGCUGGACGGCGGGGUGACGGCCCACCGUGGCGACGAUCGGUAGGGGUUCUGAGAGGAAGGUCCCCCACACUGGAACUGAGACACGGUCCAGACUCCUACGGGAGGCAGCAGUGAGGAAUAUUGGUCAAUGGGCGUAAGCCUGAACCAGCCAAGUAGCGUGCAGGAUGACGGCCCUAUGGGUUGUAAACUGCUUUUAUGCGGGGAUAAAGUGGCCCACGUGUGGGUUUUUGCAGGUACCGCAUGAAUAAGGACCGGCUAAUUCCGUG